GACAGAGGUGCCGAGCGUUAGGCGGAAUCACUGGGCUUAAAGCGUGUGUAGGCGGAUGUCUAAGUGCCUUGUGAAAUCCCACGGCUUACCCGUGGAACGGCUGGGCAUACUGGAUGUCUUGAGCCACUUAGGGGCUACCGGAACAAAUGGUGGAGCGGUGAAAUGCGUAGAUAUCAUUUGGAACGCCAAUGGUGAAAACAGGUAGCUGGGAGUGUGCUGACGCUGAGACACGAAAGCCAGGGUAGCGAACGGG
rnacentral:rRNA from 1 species